rnacentral:rRNA from 1 species
UUAAGCGACUAAGCGUACACGGUGGAUGCCCUGGCAGUCAGAGGCGAUGAAGGACGUGCUAAUCUGCGAUAAGCGUCGGUAAGGUGAUAUGAACCGUUAUAACCGGCGAUUUCCGAAUGGGGAAACCCAGUGUGAUUCGACACACUAUCAUUAACUGAAUCCAUAGGUUAAUGAGGCGAACCGGGGGAACUGAAACAUCUAAGUACCCCGAGGAGAAGAAAUCAACCGAGAUUCCCCCAGUAGCGGCGAGCGAACGGGGAGGAGCCCAGAGCCUGAAUCAGUGUGUGUGUUAGUGGGAGCGUCUGGAAAGGCGCGCGAUACAGGGUGACAGCCCCGUACACAAAAAUGCACAUGCUGUGAGCUCGAUGAGUAGGGCGGGACACGUGGUAUCCUGUCUGAAUAUGGGGGGACCAUCCUCCAAGGCUAAAUACUCCUGACUGACCGAUAGUGAACCAGUACCGUGAGGGAAAGGCGAAAAGAACCCCGGCGAGGGGAGUGAAAAAGAACCUGAAACCGUGUACGUACAAGCAGUGGGAGCACAGAGCAAUCUGUGUGACUGCGUACCUUUUGUAUAAUGGGUCAGCGACUUAUAUUCUGUAGCAAGGUUAACCGAAUAGGGGAGCCGAAGGGAAACCGAGUCUUAACUGGGCGUUAAGUUGCAGGGUAUAGACCCGAAACCCGGUGAUCUAGCCAUGGGCAGGUUGAAGGUUGGGUAACACUAACUGGAGGACCGAACCGACUAAUGUUGAAAAAUUAGCGGAUGACUUGUGGCUGGGGGUGAAAGGCCAAUCAAACCGGGAGAUAGCUGGUUCUCCCCGAAAGCUAUUUAGGUAGCGCCUCGUGAAUUCAUCUCCGGGGGUAGAGCACUGUUUCGGCAAGGGGGUCAUCCCGACUUACCAACCCGAUGCAAACUGCGAAUACCGGAGAAUGUUAUCACGGGAGACACACGGCGGGUGCUAACGUCCGUCGUGAAGAGGGAAACAACCCAGACCGCCAGCUAAGGUCCCAAAGUCAUGGUUAAGUGGGAAACGAUGUGGGAAGGCCCAGACAGCCAGGAUGUUGGCUUAGAAGCAGCCAUCAUUUAAAGAAAGCGUAAUAGCUCACUGGUCGAGUCGGCCUGCGCGGAAGAUGUAACGGGGCUAAACCAUGCACCGAAGCUGCGGCAGCGACACUGUGUGUUGUUGGGUAGGGGAGCGUUCUGUAAGCCUGUGAAGGUGUGCUGUGAGGCAUGCUGGAGGUAUCAGAAGUGCGAAUGCUGACAUAAGUAACGAUAAAGCGGGUAGAAAAGCCCGCUCGCCGGAAGACCAAGGGUUCCUGUCCAACGUUAAUCGGGGCAGGGUGAGUCGACCCCUAAGGCGAGGCCGAAAGGCGUAGUCGAUGGGAAACAGGUUAAUAUUCCUGUACUUGGUGUUACUGCGAAGGGGGGACGGAGAAGGCUAUGUUGGCCGGGCGACGGUUGUCCCGGUUUAAGCGUGUAGGCUGGUUUUCCAGGCAAAUCCGGAAAAUCAAGGCUGAGGCGUGAUGACGAGGCACUACGGUGCUGAAGCAACAAAUGCCCUGCUUCCAGGAAAAGCCUCUAAGCAUCAGGUAACAUCAAAUCGUACCCCAAACCGACACAGGUGGUCAGGUAGAGAAUACCAAGGCGCUUGAGAGAACUCGGGUGAAGGAACUAGGCAAAAUGGUGCCGUAACUUCGGGAGAAGGCACGCCGAUAUGUAGGUGAAGUCCCUCGCGGAUGGAGCUGAAAUCAGUCGAAGAUACCAGCUGGCUGCAACUGUUUAUUAAAAACACAGCACUGUGCAAACACGAAAGUGGACGUAUACGGUGUGACGCCUGCCCGGUGCCGGAAGGUUAAUUGAUGGGGUCAGCGCAAGCGAAGCUCUUGAUCGAAGCCCCGGUAAACGGCGGCCGUAACUAUAACGGUCCUAAGGUAGCGAAAUUCCUUGUCGGGUAAGUUCCGACCUGCACGAAUGGCGUAAUGAUGGCCAGGCUGUCUCCACCCGAGACUCAGUGAAAUUGAACUCGCUGUGAAGAUGCAGUGUACCCGCGGCAAGACGGAAAGACCCCGUGAACCUUUACUAUAGCUUGACACUGAACAUUGAGCCUUGAUGUGUAGGAUAGGUGGGAGGCUUUGAAGUGUGGACGCCAGUCUGCAUGGAGCCGACCUUGAAAUACCACCCUUUAAUGUUUGAUGUUCUAACGUGGACCCGUGAUCCGGGUUGCGGACAGUGUCUGGUGGGUAGUUUGACUGGGGCGGUCUCCUCCUAAAGAGUAACGGAGGAGCACGAAGGUUGGCUAAUCCUGGUCGGACAUCAGGAGGUUAGUGCAAUGGCAUAAGCCAGCUUGACUGCGAGCGUGACGGCGCGAGCAGGUGCGAAAGCAGGUCAUAGUGAUCCGGUGGUUCUGAAUGGAAGGGCCAUCGCUCAACGGAUAAAAGGUACUCCGGGGAUAACAGGCUGAUACCGCCCAAGAGUUCAUAUCGACGGCGGUGUUUGGCACCUCGAUGUCGGCUCAUCACAUCCUGGGGCUGAAGUAGGUCCCAAGGGUAUGGCUGUUCGCCAUUUAAAGUGGUACGCGAGCUGGGUUUAGAACGUCGUGAGACAGUUCGGUCCCUAUCUGCCGUGGGCGCUGGAGAACUGAGGGGGGCUGCUCCUAGUACGAGAGGACCGGAGUGGACGCAUCACUGGUGUUCGGGUUGUCAUGCCAAUGGCACUGCCCGGUAGCUAAAUGCGGAAGAGAUAAGUGCUGAAAGCAUCUAAGCACGAAACUUGCCCCGAGAUGAGUUCUCCCUGACCCUUUAAGGGUCCUGAAGGAACGUUGAAGACGACGACGUUGAUAGGCCGGGUGUGUAAGCGCAGCGAUGCGUUGAGCUAACCGGUACUAAUGAACCGUGAGGCUUAACCUU